CCUACGGGAGGCAGCAGUGAGGAAUAUUGGUCAAUGGGCGCGAGCCUGAACCAGCCAAGUAGCGUGAAGGAUGACUGCCCUACGGGUUGUAAACUGCUUUUAUAAAGGAAUAAAGUGAGGCACGUGUGCCUUUUUGUAUGUACCUUAUGAAUAAGGAUCGGCUAAUUCCGUGCCAGCAGCCGCGGUAAUACGGAUGAUCCAAGCGUUAUCCGGAUUUAUUGGGUUUAAAGGGUGCGAAGGCGGGUUGUUAAGCUGGAUGUGAAAGGGCGGAGCUGAACUGGGGCACUGCCUCUAGUACUGGGGAUCUGGAGAGUGGAUGCGGUAGGCGGAAGGUAUGGUGUAGCGGUGAAAUGCUUAGAGAUCAUACAGAACACCGAUUGCGAAGGCAGCUUACC
rnacentral:rRNA from 1 species